rnacentral:rRNA from 1 species
GUAAUCAAAAGUUUAUUAAUUGUAAACCCGUAUGAAGGAUUAAAUCUAUAAUCCCUUUCUUUUUCUUAAGAUUGAAUUUAAAGAAAGAUAAAAAAUACUUUCUUAGAAGGCAGACGAGAAGACCCUAAAAGCUAAUUAGAAAUAAUUUUUUGGGGAAAAUAAAAUUAAGAAUCUAAUUACUAAAAACUUGAUAAACUUAGAAAUAAGCUACUUUAGGGAUAACAGAGUAAUUUUUUUUAAAAGAACUUAUUGACUAAAAAGAUUACGACCUCGAUGUUGGAUUCCUGAAUCUAUAAGCCGCAGCAGGUAAAUUAGAAUAGACUGUUCGUUUUUUAAAUCAGG